CCCAACAGCUGAUAUUCAGAGGCACCUUUUCAAUGGCAGUUGGAGGGAGGACAUAUUCUCCGUAAGCAGCGAGUGAGUGGUUCACUUCAAUGCAAAGUCCCAUGGGGGAAGUUCUCUGGUCUUCCCGACUCAGGAUGGAAAUGUUGUAAUGUUCUCCACCCAGAAACUCUCCCCAAACGUUUCCUCUUGGGCUCAAGUUCCAUGCAAACAGCCCAUUUCAGAUUAUUUUUAGACUUCCUCUACUGGGCCCAGCUGGAAACCGGACACGAAAACACAGCUUCAAAUGAAAGAGAUGCUAAAGGAAGGAUGGGGAGGCUGUGGUCCUCUGGGUGGUGUUGGACAGCAAUUCCCAUCAGCCUCAGCCCACAUAUCCAAUGGUCAGGGAUGAUGAAAGAUGUAGUCCAGUAAGAUCUGGAGGACCACAGGUUCCCUCAUCCGUGCCCUAAAAGGUAGACCCAGAUUUCUCUCAGCCCUCCCCAAACCAGGAUGAACUCAGUGAAUAGCUCCUUCCAGAACAUGGAGGUGGUGUCCACUGUUUCCUUCUCACCCUCCUUAUCCUGGAUACAACCCUGUGCUAUACGCUAGGUGGUGGGUCCAAAGUUCACCCAAGGAGCUUCAUGCCUGAGCAGAGAUUUGAACUCAGGUCCUCCAGUCCCGGCCUGGCACUCUAACCACUGCACCACACUGCCUCUUCAGCUGAAGGGUGGGAUGUUCUUUGGUGCUUAUUAAGAUUUGGGUUCCGGAAGGAAUUACCUUGCUUCACCUUGGGCGAUGUCUGAAGAAUCCCUCAACUAGGGAUGGAUGUAUUCGUCAAUGUUGGUUUCCCUCCAUUUCUCAUUUCUUUCUAGGCUUAAGUUCAGCCCUUCACAUUCUGAGACAGUGUUGUUGUUUUUAAGAAUUUUAAGAAAUUCACCAGUAUUUUAGCAUACAUUUCCCCUGCCAUACACAUUUGCAAGGAAUUUUGCCUAAUUUACCAUCUUUGCGGUGGGGGGUGGGGAGAGGCGAUUUCCCUUCACCUAAUGCAUUUUUGCAUGUUAUUUUCACCCACAAAAACAUUUUUAAAGGCAGUUUCUCCCCUCAGUGCACACAUUUUUGUACAUGUCAUUUGCUCAGUGAACCGUAUCACAGUUUGGAGAAGUACGUGUUUCAAAGGAUGCCUGCAUAUUGAUUCAGGUAACAUUACACAAAGUGCGAAUUAGGCAGAAUAAAAUAAUGUAAAAAUAAUUAAACAGUUGACUAGUUUAAAUCUUACUAUUAUUGCUAUUAUUAUUAUUAUUAUUAUUAUUAUUAUUAUUAUUAUUAUUUUCCUGUCUUCUUCUUUACAGACCAGGAAAAAGUAAAAACCAUAUGGAUAAAAUACAGAAAGCUGAAACACAUAAAAUAUAAGAGUUAAAAUGUAAUUCAACUAGGACAGAACAGAAGAAGAAGAAGAGUUUGAAUUUGAUAUCCUGCUUUAUCACUACCCGAAGGAGUCUCAAAGCGGCUAACAUUCUCCUUUCCCGCAUUUGCCCUAGCGGACAAGCUCUCACUGGUUCCUACACACACAAAAGUGGGCGCUUCCAAGGCUCUCAGGUCCGUGUCCUCUGCCCAAAUAUACGUCAUGAAGGUGCCAGGUUUUGAUUGGUGGGGCAGUUCCCUUUAAGCCCCAAUGGACCAGCCUCCCUCGCAAUUUGGUCUGGUUACCAGUCACGACUGGUGAUGCGUUCUCCUCCAUCCCAGGCCUUCUCGCUUGCCUCCUGCUCUCUCCCGACCCCCUCAGGGCUCUCUCUCUCCGGAUGUUGUGGCUGGUAUUGUUUUCGAACUGUCUCGAUUUCAGACUCCCAACUCCCUUUUGUGCUUGGACGGCCACCAGCCAGCAUCAUGUCAUACCAAAGGCCGCACAUGCAACACAGGAUUUGGAGAGACAAUGCUCCAUUGUGGUCUGCAAUCUGGAAGCGGCAGCUGCCGCUGCCCAGAACGGAUGUCUCAUUGCAGCAUCAGUCGGACCCCAGAGAUCUGUCUCUCAGAGUGCGACCCACUCCCACCCCCUGCACCAGCAAACACUUCCCAUAAGUCCGUCUGGCUCAUGAUAUCAUUCCUGGAAUCGACUUCCUUGGCCGAAAUCUAUCCUAUUGAGGAUGGGGAAAGAAAACAAAAUUCCUUCUUCCUGAGGCUGUGCUGCUUUGGACAGCUCCUCCCACGCUUUCCCUGCAAGGCUUAAGGAGACACCUGCUCAAGGAUCUCUGGCUAAAUGGGUUCUCCAAACCCCAAAGGGUUUUGAGACUGUUCACACAGUGCAUCGUUGAACUGUGGAACUCUCUCCCACAGGGACAGCUUUCAAAGAGGAUUGGACAGAUCUGUGGAGGGCAAAUCUAUCAAUGGCUAUCGUGAUGGCUAUGUUCUUGCCUCCAUCGUCAGAGCCAGAGGUGCUUCUGAAUGCCAGUUGCUGGAAACCGAAGGCAAGAAAGCUCCUGUGCUCAGGCCCUGUUUGCUGGUUUCCCCACGCACAUCUGGGACGUGGGUGGCACUGUGGGUUAAACCACAGAGCCUAGGACUUGACGGUCAAAAGGUCGGCGGUUCGAAUCCCCGCGAAGGGGUGAGCUCCCGUUGCUCGGUCCCUGCUCCUGCCAACCUAGCAGUUCGAAAGCACGUCAAAGUGCAAGUAGAUAAAUAGGUACCACUCCGGCGGGAAGGUAAACGGCGUUUCCGUGCGCUGCUCUGGUUCGCCAGAAGCGGCUUAGUCAUGCUGGCCACAUGACCCGGAAGCUGUACGCCGGCUCCCUCGGCCAAUAAAGCGAGAUGGGCACCGCAACCCCAGAGUCAGCCACGACUGAACCUUACGGUCAGGGGUACCUUUACCUUUACCUUUACCUUUACCACGCGCAUCUGCUUGGCCACUGUGGGAACAGGAUGCUGGACUAGAUGGGCCAUUGGCCUGAUCCAGCAGGGCUUUCCUUAUGUCCUUAAAAGUAAGUCUUCCUUAUGGAUUCAGCCUGGAUAGAUUCUGGGACAUCUGAAGUCAUUCCUUUCGUCUGGAGAAGAAGACAAUUCCAAGCUGAUCUUGGCUUCCCAGAGAAGCCUUGGGGAGGUGAAAGGAUGUAGAUAGUUGGGGUGCAAGCGUCACUCUUUUCUGUACACUGUUACCCUGUUACCAAGGGUUAUGUUGGAGAAAAGGGCCAUAGCUCAGGGGUAGGGAAUCUGCUUUGUACGCGAAAGGUCCUCGAUUCAGUCCUUGGCAUCUUCACAAAGAGCUUGGAAUGGCUCUUGCCUAAACCCCUGGAUAGCUGCUGCCAGUCAGUGUAAGCAUUACUGAACUGGAUGGACCAAUGGUCUCACUCACUGUUAAGGCAGCUACCUAUGCUCCUGUAGCCCAUUAAGUUUUGCUCAGAAUAGACCCUUUGAAAUUAAUGAACCAAGGUUGGACAUGCCCCUAAACUUCAGUGGGUCUACUCUGAGUAGGACUAGCAUUCACCAUAAGGUCCCAAGAAGGGGUUACAGCAAUUUAAAAAGACAAUGUGAAAAACAGUUUAGAACAAAUGACAGUCACAGGAAUAGGGUGGGUCCAUAUAUAUAUAUAUAUAUAUAUAUAUAUAUAUAUAUAUCCCAGAAGACGAGGGUAAAGAGCUGUGUCUUCAGCAUAUGAUGGUAACUAUACAAUGAAGGUGCCAAAUUUACAGUUUUAAGGCUGCCACAGAGAACCAUACCCCUCAACCAUCCCACUUUGAGUGGGACAUCCCAGGAUUACAGAAGCUAUCCCAGCUUCUGACUGGAUCCCAGAAUGUCCUGUUUUUUUGGUACGGCAAUCUAGCGUGAGUCAGCUGGUUUACACCAGAGCACCGGACCAAAAGACACUUAUUCUUUUGGUCAUGAGCAAGACACCUGGCUCCUGCAAGAGCUCAGGACCAAAAAGCGAGCAUCCUUAUUUUGAUCUGUGGGCUGUUGGAGGGUAUGGAGAAGGUCCUCUCCCAGGUCACCAGCUCCUGAAAUUCUCAGGGCAGCAGAGGAUCCCCUCUGCUGAUGUUAACACCCAAGAGGAUCUGUAGGAUCCACCGAGACCAUAUAACACCGGUCCUGAAAGACCUACAUUGGCUCCCAGUACACUUCCGAACACAAUUCAGUGUUGGUGCUGACCUUUAAAACUCAGUAUAAGUGAAGGAGCCCCCAUCGUUCAGCCCAGACACUGAGGUCUAGCACCAAGGGACGUCUGGUGGCUACCUCACUGUGAGAAGUGAGGUUACAGGGAACCAGGCAGAGGGCCUUCUUAGUAGUGGCUCUCGCCCUGUGGAAUGCCCUCCCUUCAGAUGUCAAGGAAAUAAACAACUAUCUGACUUUUAGAAGACAUCCCUGUUUAGGGAAGUUUUUAAUGUGUGAUGUUUUAUCGUGUUUUUAAUAUUCUGUUGGGAGCUGCCCAGAGUGGCUGGGAAACCCGGCCAGAUGGGAGGGGUAUAAAUAAUAAUAAUAAUAAUAAUAAUAAUUCAGAUAGGUGAGUCCUAAGUCUUUUUGCGUCAUUUCCCCCUUUACAGUAAGUGUAGGGAACCUCAGAAAACUUCACAGAGGCCCAGAUUAUUUGCUCUCUUCUCCCAAAUGCAGUUCAGUGCAUAGAAUCAUAGAAUUGUAGAGUUGGAAAGGAUCACAAGGGAAAAUAUAAAGCAGGGUUACCCAUUAAAGCCAGGAAGGGGGAAUGAUUGUUUCUUGUGUUGGAGAUGCGUUGGCAGAAGGAUGGAUAUUUUAAUGCCUUUUACUGAUGGUAUGUAAACUUUUGUCUCUCAGGGGAAUUGCUGUGGCCUCAGGUUGAUGCAAGCCAUUAGCUGGAGUUGACUCACCCC